GUCGAGCUUCACGCCCAUCCUCUCGUCCAGCUCCUCCAGGCUGCCUGGGUGGUGGCUGAUGUGCCCAAAUUUGGGGUCUUUGACACAAAUCCUCCUGCUCUGCUCGUAGACCGAGGGCACGGGCAGCAGGUGGCUCAGCUGUCCCACGGCCUUGGCCUGGCAGCACUCGGAUUUGGGCAGCAGGGGGUUGGAGAAAGAGCCCUCGUUGAUGGCCAUUUUUUCUGGCAGAGCCCAAGAGAGCUUGGAAGAAGCUGAGGCAUCACAGCCACCAGCUGGCCUCUGCCUGGACAUCUUUAAUUUUGUAAUCUCCAGUCCUGCUGGGUUGAGGAUGAACCAUCAGGAGCAACCAAAGGAAACAGCAAAUUAGAGCACCAACUAAGGAAAAGGAUUUAACCUGCUCUAGGCUGUGAGAAGAGCUUCCCUCUUGCUCAUUUUCAGCCUAACCACAGAAAAGUGAAAUAAAAUGCUGCUGGCAGUGAGAAAUGAGGGUUUCCAUCUGACUGCACAGCAGUACCUCAGUCCUCAUCAGUGAUUUUUAAUUAAUGCAAAUUAUGAAUGCAGAGAGAUGUGAAUAGAAUCCAAGGAUUGGCUCUGGAUUGGAAAGUGAUAAACUGAAAUUCUGCUUAAAGGAAUUUAAUGAAGGAUUUGCUGGGAGUUCUGCAGCAGCUGAUCUGAAUUCUGCACUUGAUGUUCUCUGACACUUUCAGAUGCAUCUUUAAUCACAAAAGAACUCCUGUGUUUGCUAAGUCUGAAUAAACUCAGAUGUGGUGGGA